UUGCGUUGCCAUGCUCUGUCCUGGCGUGAACCUGAGCUGCCUGCCUUUUGCCGUUCUCACGGACCUGGACGUUCACUCCAAUAUGAGAGCUUGUUUUUUUGUCUCAGAACAUGCCACAGAUCGAGAAGCACUUUAAAUGCUAUACCUAAAUACUAUGGGAUCCUGGGAGUUGUAAUUUGGAGCGACUUGAGAAACUGCAAUUACUUGAUGUCAUAGAAGUCAAAAUGUGGAGAGGAGGUACCUGCCAGUGCUGCAAUGUAAUGCAAGAAGUACCUUCUGAAGUCCCCUAAUUUGCAUAAGUCCUGAAGGUACUAGCCAGGCACUGGUUCCAGGUGCUUCUGAUAGUUGCCUGCUUCCUGAGCCCACUUGUCGAUGGAUGUCCAGAAUCAGCAGCAUCCACUACAGUCCUUUUUAUCCUGGGUAACGACCAAGCCACUAUAGACUUCGUUUUGGUUUGUUUCUCCAUAACGCUAAAGGG